GACGAACGCUGGCGGCGUGCUUAACACAUGCAAGUCGAACGGAAAGACCCUGCUUUUGUGGGGUGCUCGAGUGGCGAACGGGUGAGUAACACGUGAGUAACCUGCCCUUGACUUUGGGAUAACUUCAGGAAACUGGGGCUAAUACCGGAUAGGAGCUCCUGCUGCAUGGUGGGGGUUGGAAAGUUUCGGCGGUUGGGGAUGGACUCGCGGCUUAUCAGCUUGUUGGUGGGGUAGUGGCUUACCAAGGCUUUGAGGGGUAGCCGGCCUGAGAGGGUGACCGGCCACAUUGGGACUGAGAUACGGCCCAGACUCCUACGGGAGGCAGCAGUGGGGAAUAUUGCACAAUGGGCGGAAGCCUGAUGCAGCAACGCCGCGUGCGGGAUGACGGCCUUCGGGUUGUAAACCGCUUUCGCCUGUGACGAAGCGUGAGUGACGGUAAUGGGUAAAGAAGCACCGGCUAACUACGUG
rnacentral:rRNA from 1 species